GGUUAACUUCAGAUCUCGUGUUUGAAUUUCGGAUUUCAUCUUCUUACAGUUACAAUCAAAAGGGGGACAUCAAGCACCAUCUUUGAUUAAAUGUACUGGGGAGAGAGAUGUCAAGUGUACAAGAACAAGAGUUACCAGAACCAGACCAUUACAACGAUGUUAUGAGUGGUGACGGUCAAGAUGAUGAUGAUGAUGUUGAGAUGCUAGAUUCUGUGAAUGAGGAUCCAACUGUUGGUUGUGC